AAUACGCUUCCCGAGUGCAUUUGAAGUGAGAAAAUAGGAGAUAACAUCUAGAAUCUCGAGAAAAGUGUACACAUUCUGAAUAUUCAGCUGCUGAUUAGAUUUUUGCGGGAAGUGGUUGUGGUAUAAAUACAUUAGAAUUACUAGUGUCAAACCAUUUUCACAAGAAGUGUCCUCGUUUUACGACUGGUCAGAAUUUUAAAGGCACUUUUUUCUUCAGCGAUCUCGUUGUCAGUUUGCAUACAAAUGGCCGGAAAACUGUUGAUUUUUUGCUUCUUGUUGGCGGUAAUCACCAUUGUAACUUGCAAACCACGAAAUCCUUUUCCAGGUCUUUCCCAGCGAGAUGUGAUGAUGCUUAGAGAGGAAAAGCGCAGUUCGUCUUCUUGUCCGCAAAUGAGUUACUGCUCCACCUCCUUUAAUUGCCGGGGUUCAGUCACCGAUCGAAACGGAGACGAGGUUGGAAUUUAUCUAGUUACCACUGGAACUUGUGGUUCAGGCUUAAAUACAGUGUGCUGCACAAUGUUCAUUUACUAAAGUGGUCUCCAAAGUUCAGGUACAACAUAUACAGAGCCAAGGUAGACCAGCCAAAGUAUUAGGUUGAAGGAAGACAUAUUCACAUUAGUUUCUCGACCGGUGUGAUUGCCAAAAAGUUUUAAAAGUUUCGAUACGUUUCCUUUGUUAUUUCACCACGAGAAUAUAAUAAAGACUGCAGUAAACUGGA